CCUCCGUAGGUGAACCUGCGGAGGGAUCAUUACACAGUUCAUGCCCUCACCUGUAGAUCGCCCACCCUGUGUUAUUAUAUUUUGUUGCUUUGGCAGGCCGCACGCGUGGUCUACCGGCUCCAGCUGGUAAGUGCCUGCCAGAGGACCCCAAACUCUGAAUAUUUUAUUGUCUGAGUACUAUAUAAUAGUUUAAAACUUUCAACAACGGAUCUCUUGGUUCUG
rnacentral:misc_RNA from 1 species